UACGUAGGGGGCAAGCGUUGUCCGGAUUUACUGGGCGUAAAGAGCGCGUAGGCGGCAAUUUAAGCGUGGCCUGAGAGCCCCCGGCUCAACCGGGGAGUGCGGCUGCGAACUGGAUUUCUUGAGGACGAUAGAGGAGAUUGGAAUUUACGGUGUAGCAGUGAAAUGCGUAGAUAUCGUAAGGAAGACCAGUGGCGAAGGCGAAUCUCUGGACAGUUACUGACACUGAGGCACGAAGGCCAGGGGAGCAAACGGG
rnacentral:rRNA from 1 species